rnacentral:lncRNA from 1 species
AUUCCAGAAGGGUUGCUGAUCUACAGAAGUGUAAGGAGUUUCCAUGCCAGGAGUUAGACACACAGAUAAAAUCACUGGUCAAAACCAAAAAAGAAUUUGAACACCUACCUCCCUUCUCUGAAAUAUGUCGCUGCCAGCUGCAAUUGGAAAUCACGUAUAUGAAGCACUCUAGAUUAGUAAAAGACAGAAGAAGGG